rnacentral:lncRNA from 1 species
CAGUCUGUGUGGAAUUCUUUAGGCUCAUAUGGCUCUGGCUCCUCUCCUCCUCUCCUCUCCUCCUCUCCUCUGCUCCUCUCCUCCUCCUCCUCUCCUCCUCCCAUCCUGCUCCUCCUCCUACCAACUCUCCUCCUCAUCAUCUCCUCCUCUCCUCCUCUCCUCUCCUCCGCUCCUCCUCCUCUCCUCCUCUCCUCUGCUCCUCCUCAUCUCCUCCUCUCCUCUCCUCCUCCUCUCCUGCUCCUCCUCAUCUCCUCCCCUCCUGCUCCUCCUCCUCUCCUGCUCCUCCUCUCCUCCUCUCCUCCUCCCCUCCUGCUCCUCUCCUCCUCCUCUCCUCCUCCUCAUCUCCUCCUCUCCUCUUCUCCUCCUCAUCUCCUCCUCCUCCUCCCCUCCUGCUCCUCUCCUCCUCCUCUCCUCCUCCUCAUCUCCUCCUCUCCUCUUCUCCUCCUCAUCUCCUCCUCCUCCACCUCUCCUGCUCCUCUCCUCCUCCUCUCCUCCUCUCCUCCUCUCCUCCUGCUCCUCCUCCUCCUCCUCCUCCUCCUCCUCCCUCCUGCUCCUCCUCCUCUCCUGCUCCUCCUCUCCUGCUCCUCCUCUCCUCCUCUCCUCCUCUCCUCCUGCUCCUCCUCCUCUCCUCUCCUCCUCCUCUCCUGCUCCUCCUCCUCUCCUCUCCUCCUCCUCUCCUGCCCCUCCUCCUACCACCUCUCCUCCUCUCCUCCUCUCCUCCUCUCCUGCUCCUCCUCUCCUCCUCUCCUCCUCUCCUCCUGCUCCUCCUCCUCUCCUCUCCUCCUUAUCUCCUCCUCCUCUCCUCCUCCUCUCCUCCUCUCCUCCUCCUCAUCUCCUCAUCUCCUCCUCCUCCACCUCCUCCUCAUCUCCUCCUCCACCUCCUCCUCAUCUCCUCCUCCUCUCCUCUCCUCCUCCUCAUCUCCUCCUCCCCUCCUGCUCCACCGCAUUCCUAUGCAUCUCAGCCAGGGGCCAUAGGUCUGCACCGGAACAUACACUCACA